rnacentral:tRNA from 1 species
GUCCCCAUCGUCUAGUGGCCUAGGACACCGGCCUCUCACGCCGGGAACACCGGUUCAAACCCGGUUGGGGACGCCA